CUUAAAUUGAAGAGUUUGAUCAUGGCUCAGAUUGAACGCUGGCGGCAGGCCUAACACAUGCAAGUCGAGCGGAAACGAGUUAUCAGAACCUUCGGGG
rnacentral:rRNA from 1 species